rnacentral:rRNA from 1 species
ACGCUGGCGGCAGGCCUAACACAUGCAAGUCGAGCGGCAGCGGAAAGUAGCUUGCUACUUUGCCGGCGAGCGGCGGACGGGUGAGUAAUGUCUGGGAAACUGCCUGAUGGAGGGGGAUAACUACUGGAAACGGUAGCUAAUACCGCAUGACCUCGAAAGAGCAAAGUGGGGGAUCUUCGGACCUCACGCCAUCGGAUGUGCCCAGAUGGGAUUAGCUAGUAGGUGAGGUAAUGGCUCACCUAGGCGACGAUCCCUAGCUGGUCUGAGAGGAUGACCAGCCACACUGGAACUGAGACACGGUCCAGACUCCUACGGGAGGCAGCAGUGGGGAAUAUUGCACAAUGGGCGCAAGCCUGAUGCAGCCAUGCCGCGUGUGUGAAGAAGGCCUUAGGGUUGUAAAGCACUUUCAGCGAGGAGGAAGGCAUCAUACUUAAUACGUGUGGUGAUUGACGUUACUCGCAGAAGAAGCACCGGCUAACUCCGUGCCAGCAGCCGCGGUAAUACGGAGGGUGCAAGCGUUAAUCGGAAUUACUGGGCGUAAAGCGCACGCAGGCGGUUUGUUAAGUCAGAUGUGAAAUCCCCGCGCUUAACGUGGGAACUGCAUUUGAAACUGGCAAGCUAGAGUCUUGUAGAGGGGGGGUAGAAUUCCAGGGUGUAGCGGUGAAAUGCGUAGAGA